UCUUUCCUCUUUGCUCCUCACUCUUCUUUCUACAAGGACAAGUAUCUUCUGCCUGAGCUGAAAGCAUAAACUUCCACAGGGCAGAUACCUAUCUAUGAGUACGGAGUCCAUGAGGAAAUGUAGAUGCAUCACUUUCCUACUUGGAGGGAAGAGUUUCUAUAGAUGAUGUGUGAAGCUGAUGUCCAAGGGCUGAGGGCAGAGAACUUGAAGUCAAGAAAGGUUAAUAUUAAAGGAGUAGCAGGAAUAUGGGUAGGAACACUAAUGGUAACACCAAUUACAUCGCUUCAUGUCUCUGCACACACAGAGCCAUUUCCUCAUUGUCCCAAGAGGCAGGAAAGUCAAGUCUCAAUGUUAAUAUUUUAAAUCAACAGAGACUGACAGAGACUGACAGAGACUGAGGCUUCUCCAAGACUCAGUCUUGUUAAAGUGACUUGU
rnacentral:lncRNA from 10 species